GACAGAGGGUGCAAACGUUGCUCGGAAUCACUGGGCGUAAAGGGCGCGUAGGCGGGGAUGUAAGUCGGGCGUGAAAAUCCCCCAGGCUCAACCUGGGAACUGCACUCGAAACUGCGUUUCUUGAGUAUCGGAGAGGAAAGCGGAAUUCCUGGUGUAGAGGUGAAAUUCGUAGAUAUCAGGGAGGAACACCAGUGGCGAAGGGCGGCUUUCUG
rnacentral:rRNA from 1 species